rnacentral:misc_RNA from 1 species
ACCUUACAGAAGAUCACAGCAAAAUAAUACAGUUUUCAAGCAGUAUUGUGUUCCUGUUGGUGAGUAAGGUGACCAGAGCUCCUGGGGGGAUUGGGGAUUGGGUCGGCAACGCGCUUGCAAUGCUUCUGGUGUUGCAGGUGUCUAUAAGCUACGGUAAUCGCUUACCAUCAGGUGAGCCGUACGCUUGUUUGCCGACCUAGUGACAUAAAA